UCGGCGUCGAUUGCGAAUCGAUUAUCGUCUCUGAGAAAUAACAGCCACAACUAUGAAGACAAGGAGACUAACAAUAAGAUGAAGUCUGUGGACUCAGAUGUUACGGAAUUCAACAUAUCGGGGCUCAAAGUCAUAGUGAGGCUCAAAAACGAUGAAGAAUUAAAGGGACGAAUAAGCUUCUUCUCGAGGUCAAAUUGCAGGGAUUGCACAGCAGUACGAUCAUUUUUUAGGCAGAAAGGAUUGAAAUUCAUCGAGAUUAACAUCGAUGUGUUCCCACAGAGAGCACAAGAGCUUAUAGAAAGAACAGGGAGUUCACAGGUGCCACAAAUUUUCUUCAACGAUAAGCUAUUUGGCGGUUUAGUGGCGUUGAAUUCGUUGAGGAACAGCGGAAUUUUCGACCAGAGGUUGAAGGAGAUGCUAGGGAGUAAAUGCUCCGGUGAUUCACCGGCAGCUCCUGUGUACGGGUUUGAUGAACCGGAGGAGGAAUCGAUGGACGAUAUGGUGGAGAUCGUAAGGGUUUUGAGACAGAGAUUGCCUAUUCAGGACCGUGUGAUGAAGAUGAAGAUUGUGAAGAACUGCUUUGCUGGGUCUCAGAUGGUGGAAGUGCUGAUACAGCAGCUGGAUUGCGGCAGAAAGAAGGCUGUUGAGAUUGGCAAGCAGCUUGCAAGGAAGCAUUUCAUCCAUCACGUCUUUGGGGAAAAUGACUUUGAAGAUGGAAACCACUAUUAUCGUUUUCUUGAGCAUCAACCAUUCAUUUCCAAAUGCUACAAUUUUCGAGGAUCUACAAAUGACAGUGAACCCAAGUCAGCAAUAAAGGUUGGCCAAAAGCUCAACAAAAUAAUGUCUGCAAUACUUGAGUUCUAUGCCUCUGAUGACAGGUGCCAUGUUGAUUACGCUAGCAUUAGCAGAAGUGAGGAAUUCAGAAGAUAUGUAAAUUUGGCUGAAGAUCUCCACAGGGUGGAUCUACUAGAACUCUCAACAGAUGAGAAACUGGCCUUCUUUAUGAACCUGUAUAAUGCCAUGGCCAUCCAUGCUGUAAUUAGAUUGGGGUGCCCUGAAGGGGUAAUCGAUCGGAGAUCCUUCAAUUCAGACUUCCAAUACAUUGUAGGAGGAUCUGCUUACUCGCUCAAUACCAUAAAGAAUGGAAUUCUCAGAAACAAUCGAAGACCUCCCUACUCGUUGGUAAAGCCCCUUGGAGCUGGAGACAAACGGUUGGAGAUAGCUCUUCCUAAAGUGAAUCCAUUAAUUCAUUUUGGGCUCUGCAAUGGGACAAGGUCAAGUCCCACAGUAAGGUUUUUCACAGCCCAAGGAAUUGAAGCUGAAUUAAAAUACGCUGCUAGGGAGUUCUUCCAAAGAACUGGAAUGGAGGUGGACUUGGAAAAGAGGGCAGUUUAUCUCACACGGAUCAUCAAGUGGUUCAGCGCAGAUUUUGGACAAGAGAGAGACAUUCUCAAGUGGAUUAUCAACUACUUGGAUGCAACCAAAGCGGGUCUUCUGACACAUCUUUUGGGAGAUGGUGGCCCCAUCAACAUUGUGUACCAAAACUAUGAUUGGUCUGUCAAUUCGUGAGGUAUCCACAUAGUGCUGUUGUGGUAUUAUUUAGUGUGUGUGUGUGUGUGUGUGUGUGUGUGUGUGUGUGUGUGAGAGAGAGAGAGAGAGAGAGAGAGACUGCAUUGGCCAGAGGCAUUUUGUACAUAAUACCCAAAAUUUGGAAGCAAUCACCUGGCCAAUAUAGGGGGAUUUAUUGAAUCACAGAGUAAUAUAUACUUUUUUUUUUAAUUUGCGAAUGCAAACAAUGAUGGAUGUGGUUAUUCAGAAAGAAAACAGUGCUGAAUACACAGAUGAAGUUGCC
rnacentral:misc_RNA from 1 species